rnacentral:rRNA from 1 species
GGUUCGAUCAUGGCUCAGAUUGAACGCUGGCCGGAUGCUUUACACAUGCAAGUCGAACGGCAGCACGGACUUCGGUCUGUUGGCGAGAGUGGCGAACAGGUGAGUAAUGUAUCGGAACGUGCCUAGUAGCGGAUAACUACGCAGCCAUAGCUAAUACCGCAUACGCCCUUCGAGGAAAGCGGGGGGCCUUCGGGCCUCGCACUAUUAGAGCGGCCGAUAUCGGAUUAGCUAGUUGGUGGGGUAACGGCUCACCAAGGCGACGAUCCGUAGCUGGUUUGAGAGGACGACCAGCCACACUGGGACUGAGACACGGCCCAGACUCCUACGGGGAGGCAGCAGUGGGGAAUUUUGGACAAUGGGGAAGUGAUCCAGCCAUCCCGCGUGUGCGACGAAGGCCUUUCGGGUUGUAAAAGCUUUUGGCAGGAAAGAAACGGCACGGGAUAAUACCCGUGCAACUGACAGCCUGCAGAAUAAGCACCGGCUAACUACGUGCCAGCAGCGCGGUAAUACGUAGGGUGCAAGCGUUAAUCGGAAUUACUGGGCGUAAAGCGUCGCAGACGGUUCGGAAAAAAGAAAGAUGUGAAAUCCCAGAGCUUAACACGGAACUGCGUACAACUACCGAGCUAGAGUGUGUCAGAGGGAGGUGGAAUUCCGCGUGUAGCAGUGAAAUGCGUAGAUAUGCGGAGGAACACCGAUAGCGAAGGCAACCUCCUGGGAUAACACUGACGCUCAUGCACAGCGUGGGGAGCAAGAAAACUAUGGGAUUAGAUACCUGGUAGUCCACGCCUAAAGCGAUGUCAACUAGCUGUUGGGGCCUUCGGGCAGCAGUGGCGCAGCUAACGCGCGUGAAGUUGACCGCCUGGGGAGUACGGUCGCAAGAUUAAAAACUCAAAGGAAUUGACGGGGACCCACAAGCGGUGGAUGAUGUGGAUUAAUUCGAUGCAACGCGAAGCCUUACCUACCCUUGACAUGUCUGGAAUCCCGAAGAGAUUUGGGAGUGCUCGCAAGAGAACCGGAACACAGGUGCUGCAUGGCUGUCGUCAGCUCAUGUGUCGUGAGAUGUUGGGUUAGUCCCGCAACGAGCGCAACCCUUGUCAUUAGUUGCUACGAAAGGGCACUCUAAUGAGACUGCCGGUGACAAACCGGAGGAAGGUGGGGAUGACGUCAAGUCCCCAUGGCCCUUAUGGGUAGGGCUUCACACGUCAUACAAUGGUCGGGACAGAGGGUCGCCAACCCGCGAGGGGUAAUCCCAGAAACCCGAUCGUAGUCCGGAUCGCAGUCUGCAACUCGACUGCGUGAAGUCGGAAUCGCUAGUAAUCGCGGAUCAGCAUGUCGCAGUGAAUACGUUCCCAGGUCUUAUACACACACCGCCCGUCACACCAUGGGAGUGGGUUUUACCAGAAGUAGUUAGCCUAACCGUAAGGGAGGGCGAUUACCACGGUAAGUUCAUGACUGGGGUGAAGUCGUAACAAGGCUGGC